GACAGAGGGUGCAAACGUUGCUCGGAAUCACUGGGCGUAAAGGGCGUGUAGGCGGGAAGGAAAGUCAGAUGUGAAAUCCCCAGGCUCAACCUGGGAACUGCAUUUGAAACUCCCUUUCUUGAGUACCGGAGAGGAAAGUGGAAUUCCUGGUGUAGAGGUGAAAUUCGUAGAUAUCAGGAGGAACACCAGUGGCGAAGGCGGCUUUCUGGACGGUAACUGACGCUGAGACGCGAAAGCGUGGGGAGCAAUCAGG
rnacentral:rRNA from 1 species